rnacentral:rRNA from 1 species
CCUAAAAUUCCCAUGGCAAACUGCUCAAUAACACAUGAUCAACUUACCCUAUAGAGAAAAAUAACCUCGGGAAACUGAGGAUAAUGUUUCAUAGUUGAAAAGGCUUGGAAAAAGUUUUUCAAUAAAAGGGAUAAAAAAAAAUGGUUUUUAUCUGCUAUAGGAUAGGAUCGUGGUCGAUUAUGGUUGUUGGUGAGGUGAUGGCUCACCAAGCCGAUAAUCGAUAGGGGCCGUGAGAGCGGGAGCCCCGAGAUGGGUACUGAGACAGCGACCCAGGCCUUACGAGGCGCAGCAGGCGCGAAAAUUCAGCAAUACACGAAAGUGUGACUGAGUUACCCAAAGUGUUCAAUUUUGAACUGUGGUAGGUGAGUAAUGUCCCCUACUAGAAAGGAGAGGGCAAGGCUGGUGCCAGCCGCCGCGGUAAAACCAGCUCUUCAAGUGGUCGGGAUAAUUAUUGGGCUUAAAGUGUCCGUAGCUGGUUUAGUAAGUUCCUGGUAAAAUCAGGUAGCUUAACUAUCUGCAUGCUAGGAAUACUGCUAUACUAGAGGGCGGGAGAGGUCUGAGGUACUACAGGGGUAGGGGUGAAAUCUUAUAAUCCUUGUAGGACCACCAGUGGCGAAGGCGUCAGACUGGAACGCGCCUGACAGUGAGGGACGAAAGCCAGGGGAGCGAACCGGAUUAGAUACCCGGGUAGUCCUGGCCGUAAACGAUGCAUACUAGGUGAUGGCGUGGCCAUGAGCCGUGUCAGUGCCGUAGGGAAACCGUUAAGUGUGCCGCCUGGGAAGUACGGUCGCAAGGCUAAAACUUAAAGGAAUUGGCGGGGGAGCACCACAAGGGGUGAAGCCUGCGGUUCAAUUGGA